rnacentral:rRNA from 1 species
GACGGUGUCCCAGCCAACUAGAGGAGCCUGUUCUAUAAUCGAUGACCCGCGUUUCACCUCACCCCCCCUUGCCCCCACAGUCUGUAUACCUCCGUCGCAAGCCCGCCACUUGAGUGACCCUCAGCGGGCUCAACGGCCCUAUCGCCAAUACGUCAGGUCAAGGUGCAGCCCACGGGGGGGAAAGUAAUGGGCUACAAUUUCUAAUUUAGAACAAACGAAAUACUGCAUGAAACACAGUCAUGAAGGAGGAUUUAGUAGUAAAAAGAAAAUAGCACAUUCUUUUUAACACGGCCCUGGGACGUGUACACACCGC